UAAGGCAAGCUCAGGGAGGACAAACCUCCCGUGGAGCAGAAUAGCAAAAGCCCGUUUCAUCUUGAUUUUCAGUAUGAAUACAGUCUGUGAAAGCAG
rnacentral:ncRNA from 1 species